rnacentral:rRNA from 1 species
AUUGAACGCUGGCGGCAGGCCUAACACAUGCAAGUCGAGCGGCAGCGGAAAGUAGCUUGCUACUUUGCCGGCGAGCGGCGGACGGGUGAGUAAUGUCUGGGAAACUGCCUGAUGGAGGGGGAUAACUACUGGAAACGGUAGCUAAUACCGCAUAACGUCGCAAGACCAAAGAGGGGGACCUUCGGGCCUCUUGCCAUCAGAUGUGCCCAGAUGGGAUUAGCUAGUAGGUGGGGUAACGGCUCACCUAGGCGACGAUCCCUAGCUGGUCUGAGAGGAUGACCAGCCACACUGGAACUGAGACACGGUCCAGACUCCUACAGGAGGCAGCAGUGGGGAAUAUUGCACAAUGGGCGCGAGCCUGAUGCAGCCAUGCCGCGUGUAUGAAGAAGGCCUUCGGGUUGUAAAGUACUUUCAGCGGGGAGGAAGGUGUUGUGGUUAAUGACCACAGCAAUUGACGUUACCCGCAGAAGAAGCACCGGCUAACUCCGUGCCAGCCGCCGCGGUAA